CAUUACCGUUGCAUACAAAAACAAC
rnacentral:rRNA from 1 species